AGAGUUUGAUCAUGGCUCAGGAUGAACGCUAGCGGCAGGCCUAAUACAUGCAAGUUGAACGAGAUUGGAGGAGCUUGCUCUUCCAUGAAAGUGGCGCACGGGUGCGUAACGCGUAUGCAACCUACCUUCUUCAGGGGGAUAGCCUCUCGAAAGAGAGAUUAACACCGCAUAACAUUAUUGAGUGGCAUCAUUUAAUAAUCAAAUAUUUAUAGGAAGAAGAUGGGCAUGCGUGACAUUAGUUAGUUGGCGGGGUAACGGCCCACCAAGACCACGAUGUCUAGGGGAUCUGAGAGGAUGACCCCCCACACUGGUACUGAGACACGGACCAGACUCCUACGGGAGGCAGCAGUAAGGAAUAUUGGUCAAUGGGGGCAACCCUGAACCAGCCAUGCCGCGUGCAGGAAGACGGCCCUACGGGUUGUAAACUGCUUUUAUACCGGAAUAAUUCCCUUUACGUGUAAAGGGUUGAAUGUACGGUAAGAAUAAGGAUCGGCUAACUCCGUGCCAGCAGCCGCGGUAAUACGGAGGAUCCAAGCGUUAUCCGGAUUUAUUGGGUUUAAAGGGUGCGUAGGCGGCUUUUUAAGUCAGGGGUGAAAGACGGUGGCUCAACCCAUCGCAGUGCCUUUGAUACUGAAGAGCUAGAUUACACUAGAGGUAGGCGGAAUGUGACNGUAGCGGUGAAAUGCAUAGAUAUGUCACAGAACACCGAUUGCGAAGGCAGCUUACUAUGGUGUCAAUGACGCUGAGGCACGAAAGCGUGGGGAUCAAACAGGAUUAGAUACCCUAGUAGUCC
rnacentral:rRNA from 1 species